rnacentral:rRNA from 1 species
UGGGGAAUAUUGCACAAUGGGGGGAACCCUGAUGCAGCCAUGCCGCGUGUGUGAAGAAGGCCUUAGGGUUGUAAAGCACUUUCAGUUGUGAGGAAAGGUUUGAGGUUAAUACCCUUAAGCUGUGACGUUAGCAACAGAAGAAGCACCGGCUAACUCCGUGCCAGCAGCCGCGGUAAUACGGAGGGUGCGAGCGUUAAUCGGAAUUACUGGGCGUAAAGCGCACGCAGGCGGUUGUAUAAGCCAGAUGUGAAAGCCCCGGGCUUAACCUGGGACGGUCAUUUGGAACUGUACAACUAGAGUCUUGGAGAGGGGAGUGGAAUUCCAGGUGUAGCGGUGAAAUGCGUAGAUAUCUGGAGGAACAUCAGUGGCGAAGGCGACUCCCUGGCCAAAGACUGACGCUCAUGUGCGAAAGUGUGGGUAGCGAACAGGAUUAGAUACCCCCGUAGUCC